GAUGAACGCUGGCGGCGUGCUUAACACAUGCAAGUCGAACGGAGUUAUCAUUUUUGAAGCGAUUAGCUUGCUAAGAGUGGAAAAGUUGAUAACUUAGUGGCGGACGGGUGAGUAACGCGUGGGUAACCUGCCUUACACAGGGGGAUAACACUUAGAAAUAGGUGCUAAUACCGCAUAAGCGCACAGUCCCGCAUGGGACAGAGUGAAAAACAUUAGUGGUGUAAGAGGGACCCGCGUCUGAUUAGCUUGUUGGCGGGGUAACGGCCCACCAAGGCGACGAUCAGUAGCCGGCCUGAGAGGGUGGACGGCCACAUUGGGACUGAGACACGGCCCAA
rnacentral:rRNA from 1 species